UACGUAGGGCGCAAGCGUUAUCCGGAGUUACUGGGCGUAAAGGGUGCGCAGGCGGUGGCCCGCGUGGGCGGUGAAAGCUCCUGGCUCAACUGGGAGAGGGCCGUCCAGACGGGGUCACUUGAGGGGCGGAGAGGGGCGUGGAAUUCCGGGUGGUGCGGUGAAAUGCGUAGAGAUCCGGAGGAACACCGACGGCGAAGGCAGCGCCCUGGCCGCCAUCUGACGCUCAGGCACGAAAGCUGGGGGAGCGAACGG
rnacentral:rRNA from 1 species